rnacentral:rRNA from 1 species
CGGAUUGCAGGCUGCAACCCGCCUGUAUGAAGUUGGAAUCGCUAGUAAUCGCGGAUCAGCAUGCCGCGGUGAAUACGUUCCCGGGCCUUGUACACACCGCCCGUCACACCAUGAGAGUCGGGAACACCCGAAGUCCGUAGCCUAACCGCAAGGGGGCGCGGCCGAAGGUGGAUUCGAUAAUUGGGGUGAAGUCGUAACAAGGUAAC